UACGUAGGGACCGAGCGUUGUCCGGAAUCAUUGGGCGUAAAGAGCGUGUAGGCGGCCAAUUAAGUCCUGCGUGAAAUCUCGGGGCUCAACCCCGAGCGGUCGUGGGAAACUGGUUGGCUAGAGUGCGGGAGAGGAGAGUGGAGUUCCUGGUGUAGCGGUGAAAUGCGCAGAUAUCAGGAAGAACACCCGUGGCGAAGGCGGCUCUCUGGAACGCAACUGACGCUGAGACGCGAAAGCGUGGGGAGCAAACAGG
rnacentral:rRNA from 1 species